rnacentral:lncRNA from 1 species
CCACCCCAAACUGCUUUGGCCACUGCCCAGCCCUGGGUGCCACCGGAAGAUGCACACCACUAAAACAUCGCAGAUAAUUUCUAAAAAGCACUUCUCAACAUGUCAUGCAAAAGAUGCAGUGGUUUAUUUCCUUGCAUAAAUCCCAACCAGAUUGCAGAAGCAGAGGGAAUGAACAUUUAAUGACUUUGCUGAGGCCAGACACUGGUAUGUCUAUGCUCUCUUUAAAUCCUCACCCCAGCGACAUCUGAUUUCCCUUCAUUUUACAGAUUAGAGGACUUUGAGAGGUUAGUGACUUGCUCAAGGUCGGCUAGGAAGCAAGACCCAGGAUUCCAACUCAGGUCUGUGUGAUUCCUCUGCAAAAUGGAGAGGUGGAAGGAUGGAUGUCAGGUCUGACGGAUGGAUGGAUGGAUGCCUACAUCAAGAUACAUGCAUAGAUGGAGAGAUGGCUGGCUACCUCACGAAUGCUGGUAAGAUGGAUGAGUGAAUUGAAGCACAGGUGGUGGAAGGAGAGAGGAAUGAGAGAGAAUAGUCAAUUUCCCACCAAGAUCAAAGGCUUACUUGAUCUUUGAAGAGAGGUUCCCUCUGAAUGGAGCUUGCUGGUGAAGCUCCUGCCUUCUGUUCUGCUUCUGAGCGCACUGACUGGCUCAGGUGGCUCUGGGACAACAGGUGGGAUGCCAGCUUACAGGGACCAAGUCCCAGCUGUGGUGCUGGAGCUGCUCAGUGGCAACUCUCCGUCUCUGCUGCUUUCACGCAGCACUGAGGAAGAGCAGGCAUUCGCCUUUCCACUGGCUCUCCUGGAUGACUAAGCCCUAAGCCCCAACCGCACACUCAGCCCUUCACUGGCACUUGGCAUAAUUUUAUCUCCUCUAAAUCAUCACAGCCACCCUCCAUGAUAGCAAUUUCUAUUCUCAAUUAAGUGAAAAGGAAACCGAAGUUUAGGAGUGGUAAGUGACUUACCCAAAAUCGUAUAGGGAGGAAAUGCAGACCCAGGAUUUGAACUCGAGUCUUCUUUCCUUCCACACUCAUCCCCUCAGAGAACCUGCUCAUGGGCUAGGCCCUACUUCACACAUUCUAGGUGCUAAGGUUUCAAUCUCAGCUUUGCCAUUGACUACUUUUGUGAGUUUGGACAAGGUAUUUAAUUUCUGUGCCGCGUUUUCUUCAGUUGUACUGAUAGUACCUUACUAAUACCAAUAGUACCUUACUAAUGUUUGGGAGGCUGAGGUGGGAGGAUCCAUU